UAUGUGAUCGUCUCUCGCAUAUCAAUAAGCGGAGGAAAAGAAACUAACAAGGAUUCCCCUAGUAACGGCGAGUGAAGCGGGAAGAGCUCAAAUUUGAAAUCUUAAAGGGUUCCCUUUACGAAUUGUAGUUUAAAGAAGUGUUUUCUGUUGAGGUUUUGGUAAAAGUUCUUUGGAAUAGGACAUCAUAGAGGGUGAGAAUCCCGUAUUUGACCUUUACUUUCAACUUUGUGAUACACUUUCAAAGAGUCGGAUUGUUUGGGAAUGCAGUCCAAAAUGGGUGGUAAAUUUCACCUAAAGCUAAAUAUUGGCGAGAGACCGAUAGCGAACAAGUACCGUGAGGGAAGGAUGAAAAGAACUUUGAAAAGAGAGUUAAACAGUACGUGAAAUUGUCAACAGGGAAGCGUUUGACACCAGUGUUGUUUUUCUGAAAAUCAAUUAAAGAACUGUUUAUGCUAAGUUGUUUAGACUUUAUCAGCUAUCUGCUUAGUUUUGAGCUUUUCUUUAAUGCACUUUUCAGUUAACAAGUCAACAUCAAUUUCUUUUGCUGUAAAAAAGCUUGAGGAAGGUGGCUUGAGAUUCGUCUUAAGUGUUUAUAGCCUCUUGCCUAUGCAGUCGGAGAGAUUGAGGUUUGCAGCGUAGAUCCUUCGGGGCUAAAUGCAUUUGUGCUAAGUUAUAGCAUUUUAUAGACAACUUGUUGACUAUGAUUUGUCUUGUAGCUUACUCGCUUAUGUUAUUUUACCUACGCUUAGGAUGUUGAGCGCAUGUCUCUCUCU
rnacentral:rRNA from 1 species